CUAUCUAAACCCCGCCAUCCCUGGUUUCUUCCAACAGAGCUCCGAGUGAGGAGCCCAUCCUUCCACUUCCCCUCCGCUCCUCCGGCGCUCAAUCUCGAAUGUAACUGUAACACUACAUCCCAUAACUUUGUAAUCCAUGGAAUCACUUCUUAUCUCCAACUCGCUUUCGUCCCUGCAACUUUUACCCAUUUUACAUCCAUCACCCCACUCCUUCGUCCUCCCCCCCGGCCGUCGGCGCCGCCUUCUCAUUCACGCCGCAGCAGCAACGCCUCCUAGACCGUUACACUUUCCCCGUAUUUCCCUCUUUUCCUCCCUUUUUCGUAGUCUCCAACCUCCUAAAACCCCAACCAACAUUGGCAUCUCUGUUCUCGAGGGCGCCUGCAAAACAGUUGUCCUUGCGAUCUUUGUGGCAGCAGUAUCACUCCUUUCUCUCCCAGCUGCUCGCCUUCUCCCUGCCAUUGCUGCGACAACCGUGUCCGAGAAGGCCAAGAAGGAUGAGACCACGACGGGCCACGAAUUCUCCGGCUAUACCCGAAGAUUGUUAUCCGUUGUUUCAGUCCUUUUGAGAAGAAUGGAAGAUGCGAAGUCUGGGAAGGGUGAUAUGGAUGGUGUUAAGAAGGCUCUUAAGGAGGUUAAGACAAGUCGGAAAAAGAUUCAGGAUGAGGUGAUUGGAAAUUUGAAUGCUGAACUGAAGGAGCUGAAGAGUGUCAUUGGGGAAUUGACUAAGAGGUCCGAGGAGGUGCUUGCUUUGGCAAGGGCGGCAAUGAACGAGAGGGACAUGCUAUCGGAGAGCUUUGAAAAUGAGCAGGAGAUGAAGGGGAGAGCGGAGGAGUUGGAGAGGAAGAUUGGUGAUUUGGAGAAGGAAUAUAAUGAUCUGUUGGUGAAAGUUGAGGAGAUUGAGGAUAGGAUGAUGAGGAGGGAGACUUUGACAUACAGCAUAGCUGUUAGAGAGCUUUCUUUCAUUGAGAAGGAGAGUGAGGUUUUGGUGCGGAGCUUUGGCCGUCGGAUGAUGGAGGUUGCACGCGUAAGUCAACAGUGGAACCCUUCUAUUCAGCUUUCUGGGAAGGACAUUCAGAAAGACUUAGAAACAGCUCAAAAGGAAUAUUGGGAACAAUUGCUACUCCCUAAGGUUUUGGAAGCUGAAGAUCCUGAAAUAUUGGUAGAUAGCAGCGCAAAAGGUUUUGCUCGAAACAUUCAACAAGUCCUUAAGGAAUCACAACAAUUGCAAAGAAAUCUGGAAGCUCAGAUAAGGAAAGAGCUAAAAAAAUAUGGUGAUGAAAAGCGUUUUCUCUUAAAAACACCAGAAACAGAAGUUCUAAAGGGCUUUCCUGAAGUUGAAUUGAAGUGGAUGUUUGGUACUAAGGAUAUUGUUGUCCCGAAAUCUGUUCGUGUUCAUUUGUAUCAUGGAUGGAAGAAAUGGCGCGAUGAAGCCAAAGCUAACUUGAAAAAGCAGUUGCUUGAGAACAUGGACGAAGGACAACAAUACAUAGCUCGAAGAAGGGAACGAAUUCUCUUAGACCGGGAGAGAUUGGUAGCUAAAACAUGGUACAAUGAUAAGAGAAAAAGGUGGGAAAUGGAUCCUGUGGCUGUUCCAUAUGCAGUUUCGAAGAAACUAAUAGAAAAUGCUCGUAUUAGACACGACUGGGCUGUUAUGUAUAUUUCACUUAAGGGAGAUGAUAAGGAAUAUUUUGUUGAUAUUAAGGAGUUUGACCUACUUUUCGAGGACUUUGGCGGAUUUGAUGGUCUCUACACCAGGAUGAUUUCGUCGGGCAUUCCAACGGCUGUUCACUUGAUGUGGAUUCCAUUCUCGGAUCUUGGUCUACGUGAACAGUUUUUCUUGAUUAGGACAAUGCUAUCUCAAGCAUUGACUGGAUUCUGGAACUGUGCUUUUAUAUCUUUUGUGAAGAAACCAGUUUUCUCUGGAGUAAAAAAUAUCACUGAUGAUUUGAUGGUUACAUUAAUUUUCCCCAUUAUGGAGUUCAUCAUUCCUAAGCCUGUGAGAAUGAUCUUAGGUUUGGCAUGGCCGGAGGAAGUAUAUCAUGCUGUUGAAUCUACUUGGUUCUUGAAAUGGCAGUCUGAGGCAGAAUUGAAUUACAGAGCUAGGAAGAGAGAUAAUUUCAACUGGUAUUUUUGGUUUAUAAUUAGAAGCAGCUUAUGUGGAUAUGUUUUAUUUCAUGUCAUUAAGUUUCUUAAGAGAAAGUUGCCAAGCUUCCUUGGAUAUGGACCCUUGAGAAGAGACCCAAACUUGAGGAAAUUGCAGAGAUUGAAAUUCUAUUUUAGGUAUAAGAAGAAUAGAAGGAUUCGAAAGAGGAAAGAGGGCGUUGAUCCUAUAAGAUCUGCGUUUGAUCAGAUGAAGAGAAUAAGGAAUCCACCUAUUAGGCUUGAUGAUUUUGCCAGCGUUGAGUCUAUGAGAGAUGAAAUCAAUGACAUUGUGACAUGCCUACAAAAUCCUGCAGCGUUCAAGGAUAAAGGAGCUCGAGCACCUAGGGGCGUUCUCAUUGUUGGAGAGAGAGGAACAGGGAAAACAUCUCUUGCAUUGGCAAUAGCUGCUGAAGCUAGAGUUCCUGUUGUUGAGGUCAAAGCUAGCCAACUAGAGGCUGGACUCUGGGUCGGCCAAAGUGCAUCAAAUGUUAGGGAGCUUUUCGAAGCUGCUAGGGAUUUGGCACCUGUGAUAAUUUUUGUGGAAGAUUUUGAUAUAUUUGCUGGUGUUCGAGGCAAGUUUAUUCACACCAAAAUGCAAGAUCAUGAGGCAUUCAUUAAUCAACUUCUUGUUGAACUUGAUGGUUUUGAAAAUCAGGAUGGUGUUGUUUUGAUGGCAACUACUCACAAUCUUAAUCAAAUUGAUGAGGCAUUGCGAAGACCGGGAAGAAUGGAUAGAGUAUUGCAUCUUCAAAGACCAACCCAACUGGAAAGGGAGAAAAUAUUACUGCUUGCAGCAAAAGAAACCAUGGAUCCUGAUCUCAUAAAUUUUGUUGAUUGGCGAAAGGUUGCUGAAAAAACAGCUUUACUCAGACCCAUUGAAUUGAAACUUGUUCCGGUUGCAUUGGAGGGUAGUGCUUUCCGAAAUAAAGUUCUUGACCCGGACGAGCUUAUGGGCUAUUGCAGCUGGUUUGUGACAUUUGGUAAUUUUAUUCCCGCAUGGUUGAGGGGAACCAAAAUUUUCAAGAGAAUAAGCAAACAUCUUGCAGAUCAUCUUGGAUUGACUUUGAGAAAGGAAGACAUGCAAUCCGUCGUUGAUUUGAUGGAGCCCUAUGGUCAGAUAAGCAAUGGAAUAGAACUUUUGAGUCCUCCAACUGUUUGGACAUGGCAAGAGAAAUUUCCACAUGCUGUUUGGGCGGCUGGUCGUGGUCUUAUUGCUAUUCUUCUACCAAACUAUGAUAUGGUUGAUAAUAUAUGGCUUGAACCAGCUGCUUGGGAGGGGAUUGGAUGCACAAAAAUUACGAAGGCUAGACAUGAAGGCUCUUUAAAUGGGAAUCUAGAAUCAAGGUCUUAUCUUGAGAAGAAAUUGGUGUUCUGCUUUGGCUCUUAUGUCGCAGCACAGCUAUUACUUCCUUUCGGGGAGGAAAAUUUUUUGUCAUCAUCUGAGAUUAAACAUGCACAAGAGAUAGCUACACGCAUGGUUCUUCAAUAUGGAUGGGGCCCUGAUGACAGUCCAGCUAUUUAUGUGACUAGCACUGCGGUUGGAACACUAAGCAUGGGAAACAAACAUGAGUUGGAGAUGGCAGCUAAAGUUGAACAGAUGUACAACCUAGGCUAUGAAAAAGCAAGGGAAAUGCUUCAGAAAAACUGUCAAGUACUUAAAAUUAUUGUGGAACAGCUGCUUGAAGUUGAGAAUUUAACGGGAGAGGAUUUGAUCGGUAUAUUUGAAGAAAAUAAUGGAGCUCGUGAGAAAGAGCCAUUCACAAUUUUAAAACACACGUAUAAGGAGAUCGCUCUGGAAAGGUCUCUUGAGGUCAAUGGCAACGCAGCAGCUGUAGCAUUUUUGAAUGUCGCCUAAAGAUGAUAGGUCAUGGAGUGAUAAUGAGUUCUCCUUUUUCAUCAGCUCUCUCAGAAGUCCUUACCUAAGUUUUCUCAUUAUUGUUCUUUGAAAGGUGACACAUGCCGCCGGACAUAUGAGUCCCACAAGAUCAAUUUGUGAAAACUAUUUGAGGGAGUUUCCUAUUUCAAUUGUAAUCUUUUUUAAUCUGUUUUUUUAUCAUAUUGUAUGUAUUUCUUUUAUUGUGAUAAGUUGUAACAGUCUUUAUUUUAUUUGCCCUAAGCAUUCCCUAUGUAAUAUGAGGAAAUGUUGUAAUUUGAAUAUGAUGGAAUAAGAGGAUAUUGUUUC